rnacentral:snoRNA from 1 species
CUACAUGAUGAAAACUCCCUGAACUGAGGUGAUGAUGAAGACCGGUCUGCUGAUGC